AAAAAAAACUGCAGAAUUAAGUACAACAGUCCAAGAUAUGACGUAUGUUUGGAUCGGAGCUGGGGUCGGCCUCUUAUUGACUGCUGGAUACAUUAUUUUCCAGGUGUGCAUCAUGAGGAGGUUUAUGAAUGAAAGCACAGAUGCUAGAUCAUAAACCUUCAGAGCAGCCUCACCAGCUUGCCAUAAUGCCGUCUCAGCCAAUCAGAACAUCCCAUGCCAUUGGUGUCCAAUGACAUGCAGUGUUAAAGUCAGACAGAGUGAUUUGCAGGAUGAUGUGAAACCUGCAGAAGAGGCAUGUGGGGGGGUAGACGAUCAACCAGGCGGACAGUUUCCCCCUCACGUUUCCACACACAAAACACUUUUAAAGAUCUGAUUUACAUCUUAUGAUGACGAAUCGAUUAACAAUUACCUGUAGCAAUGUGGUUUUCAAACUAACUAUUUUAAGAUAAUAUGAGAAAAGUGUUUUCAUUUGGCUGCUGAGUGUUGUGUAGUUUGAUUAAAUCGUCAUUUUAAAGCCUGAA